GCGGCGGCGGCAGCGGCGGCGGCGGGCGCUGAAUGAGAGACGCCGAUUGCUCGGGUCGCCGGGCGCUAGCCUAGGCGGCGGCGGCAACGGUGACGAAGCCUGAAGCCGGCGUCGUCUUUCCAUCCUUCGAGGCGACGGCCGCAGCUGCACAGGACUAAUAAUGUAUUUGUGGCCUUGGACGUGAAGCCGUCAGUCUUCUAUUGCUGUUAACAUAGCGUCCAGGACUGAUGUUGUGGGAAGCAUGGACCUAAUGAACGGGCAGGCAAGCAGUGUUAAUAUUGCCGCUCCUGCUUCCGAGAAAAGUAGCAGUUCCGAAUCAUUAAGUGACAAAGGUUCCGAACUGAAGAAAAGCUUUGAUGCUGUGGUCUUUGAUGUUCUUAAGGUUACACCAGAAGAAUAUGCGGGUCAGAUAACACUAAUGGAUGUUCCAGUAUUUAAAGCCAUUCAACCAGAUGAGCUUUCAAGUUGUGGAUGGAAUAAAAAAGAAAAAUAUAGUUCUGCACCAAAUGCCGUUGCCUUCACAAGAAGAUUUAAUCAUGUAAGCUUUUGGGUUGUUAGAGAAAUUCUUCAUGCUCAGACAUUAAAAAUCAGAGCAGAAGUGUUGAGCCACUAUAUUAAAACUGCUAAGAAACUGUAUGAGCUGAAUAACCUUCAUGCACUUAUGGCAGUGGUUUCUGGCUUACAGAGUGCCCCAAUCUUCAGGUUGACUAAAACAUGGGCGUUACUAAGUCGAAAAGACAAAACUACCUUUGAAAAAUUAGAAUAUGUAAUGAGUAAAGAAGAUAAUUACAAAAGACUAAGAGACUAUAUAAGUAGCUUAAAGAUGACGCCUUGCAUUCCCUAUUUAGGUAUCUAUUUGUCAGAUUUAACAUACAUUGAUUCAGCAUACCCAUCAACUGGCAGCAUUCUAGAAAAUGAGCAAAGAUCAAAUUUGAUGAAUAACAUCCUUCGAAUAAUUUCUGAUUUACAGCAGUCCUGUGACUAUGAUAUCCCCAUGUUGCCUCAUGUCCAAAAAUAUCUGAACUCUGUUCAGUAUAUAGAAGAACUACAGAAGUUUGUGGAAGAUGAUAAUUACAAGCUUUCGUUAAAGAUAGAACCAGGGACAAGCACACCACGCUCUGCUGCUUCGAGAGAAGAUUUAGUAGGUCCUGAAGUAGGAGCAUCUCCGCAAAGUGGAAGAAAAAGUGUGGCAGCUGAAGGAGCCCUGCUACCACAGACACCGCCGUCCCCUCGGAACUUGAUUCCACAUGGACACAGGAAGUGCCAUAGCUUGGGCUAUAAUUUCAUUCAUAAAAUGAACACAGCCGAGUUUAAGAGUGCAACGUUCCCAAAUGCAGGGCCAAGGCAUCUAUUAGAUGACAGCGUCAUGGAGCCCCAUGCACCAUCUCGAGGCCAAGCUGAAAGUUCUACUCUUUCUAGUGGAAUAUCAAUAGGUAGCAGUGAUGGUUCUGAACUAAGUGAAGAGACCUCAUGGCCUGCUUUUGAAAGGAACAGAUUAUACCAUUCUCUCGGCCCGGUGACACGAGUGGCACGAAAUGGCCAUCGAAGCCACGUGAAGGCCAGCAGUUCUGCAGAAUCAGAAGAUUUGGCAGUACAUUUAUAUCCAGGAGCUGUUACUAUUCAAGGUGUUCUCAGGAGAAAAACUUUGUUAAAAGAAGGCAAAAAGCCUACAGUGGCAUCGUGGACAAAGUAUUGGGCAGCUCUGUGUGGGACACAGCUUUUUUACUAUGCUGCCAAAUCUCUAAAAGCUACAGAGAGAAAGCAUUUCAAAUCAACAUCAAAUAAGAACGUAUCUGUGGUAGGAUGGAUGGUGAUGAUGGCUGAUGACCCAGAACACCCAGAUCUCUUCUUGCUGACUGACUCUGAGAAAGGAAACUCAUACAAGUUUCAAGCUGGCAACAGAAUGAACGCGAUGCUGUGGUUCAAGCAUUUGAGCGCAGCUUGCCAAAGCAACAAGCAGCAGGUUUUCAGAAAAAGAUUACUAAAGUGAUAGCUGUUAAGCUGUUUUAAAGGACAGAGAAAUGACCACUGAAGUGAGAAUAUCUCUCCCAGCACAACUUCAGAAAACAGUUCCUACAAACUUGAUGACUUUUGAGUAGAAGCCUAAGAAAGAAGCGAGGUGAACUAUCACCCCUAAGUGAGAGUGAGGAGGUGACGCGAGUGCCAGCUGAGCCAGUUCUGGGCCAGGAGGAGCCCAGAGGCUGCGUCUCAAGCCUUUGGAGUUCUGAACCAAAAAAAGCACUAAUUUCAGGGAAUGAAGUGAGAUAUUCCCAGAGAACACAUUGGAGUCACUAAACAAACUGCCAUGGACCGCGCUGCUUUUCUCUGAACUGACCUGCGGAAACCACUGCCUUAAACGAACGAAAGGAAAACCAACAUGAAGCACCAAAUAGUGUGUGUGCAUCUUCUGGCGGUGCUGUGCUUGGAAUAGAUCGUAGCCCAUUUGCGUUUCUUUUAACUUUGUACUAAUUUUGGAGGGGGGAAUCUCCUUUUUUUAGACACACUUUAAAAAGGAAAACAUCUUUCUUAUGAGUUAUGUGAGGGGCUGGUGUAGAAAGGAGGUGUGAAGAUGCUCCGCCUGCCCCGGGGGGCUUCUCCGCUCCCGGUCAUCUGCAGCCUCCCUGGCUCUCCCACGGCAAGAGUUUCGGGAUUAGACAUGUUCAUAAUGUGAGUUGUUGGGGUUCGUUUGGGAUUGGGGGCGGGGGUUGUUUCGAAUGAGGGGAGAUUUUUCUUAAACACUAAACUUCGGAAAUUGAGUUCUGGGUGGGGAGCAUCAUUUCUUGCAGGAGGCAUGAAGGCUGAGCGCUCCUAUUCCAGACACUCUUUUCAAGUGGGCUCCAGAAAGCAUGGUUGUUUUUAACUGGAUUUAAAAUUUAGCCUUCUAUAUGAAUUCAUUGUUGGACCACAGAUCUGCUUAGGAAAGAACCGUAAUCCCAACCUAAACUUUUCUGAGAUUUUACAGUAAUUACAUUUUUUUUCAAGUGAAUUGAAUUAUCCCUUCUACCAGUCUCUGGUGACUUUUGUCAUCAAGAUGAUAUACUGAUACUUCAUCAGGAUAUUUUCUCUUACAGUGUUUCAUGUACACAAUGCCAGUUAUUUUUUUUAUUACUCAUUUUCGUUAUUUUUGUUAAGUAUGAGAGUCAGGAUUACAUUUGUUUAAAAGAGCUUCCGCAUAUGUAUGUGUGUAUGUAUUUUAUUAUAAGUCACAGAAAAUUUUAAAAGGGAAAAGGGUGAAAGAUUGAGAUUCUGGGAAUCUUAAGUAUCAAAACUUCCCUUCUUAUGUAACUUUCCUUUAUUACAAAACACUUUUCUGAAAACGUACUGUAGGUCCUGGCCAUGAAACCAUAUUCUGUCAGUGGUAGACCAAGCUGUUUUGGGAGAGCUCUUCCAUGCAACAGUGCGUUUAAUUUCCAGAAUAAAUGUUGAAUUGCAAGAAGAAAAAAAAAAAAAAGGUUUAAAGGUGAGCUGCCUUAGAGUUUUAACAAAAAAUGGCACUUGAACAAAGACUGUGUGUUAGAUGUUAGAAACUCAUGGGGCAUCCUAUAUUUUAGCAGUGGCCCAGAGGAAGAAACUCUUUUUGACUGAUCUCUUCCAAUAAACUUGUAAUACUUCGGGCCUCACAUAAAAUUUCUUACAUUUGCAUUCUUAGAGAAUUUCAUACUUUUUUUUUAAUCAUCUUGAAGCCUUGAAACUUAAAUAGAAAAUAUUGCUCACAGAAUCAUUAGCUAAAAGUCUAUCCAAAGGAAAAUAGAAGAGCUUUUGGAAAGGAUGUUAAGAGUUCAGGUAUUUUUCUCAUAUAGCACAGUUAGAAAUACCAUUAUUUCUGGUUUUGUGGAAAGUGACAUGGGCUGGAGAGGGCAAAAUGCUGCCUGUGCUUAGUGAUUUUUCAAUUAAUGAUCUCCCAAGCUUAACCCACGUUGGGUACAUAGACACCACCUGCGUCGCCAGCAGUAUUACUAUAUAGACCUUGCACAUCUUUCUUUUGUUUUACAUCUUCUAAAAUUCCUUAAUUUGUGUAUUUCUCUUCAGAAAUAAGUGUUUUUAACAGUGUAUGUGCUUUUUAAAAAAUUCUGUGGAUGAGAACCCUGUGGAUUUUUUAUUACUGUUUUGUUUGUCAUAAAUAAGCUAAAGUAGAUACAUUGUACCAUAUUUGAGGAGAUUCGCAACUAGAAGUCAGAGCCUGACAUCACAGUUUUGCCAAAGAGAGAGCUGAACUGGAAGAUGUGUUUGAUACUUCAGCUCUAACAUUACGGGAUACGUGCACAGGGAAAGAAUAGUGUUCAAAUUUGGUGAAUAGUCCCUAUGUAGAAUUGUGGCCUCUGACUGAGCGAAACUCUUAACACAACUGUACAGUAGAAGUAGACAUUGUUCUCUCUUCAAAUCUGUCUAUUCAAAAGAUUAGACGUUGCUUUUGAAGAUGAUUUUAGCAUUUGAAACAAAUGGAAACCAGUGAGAGAAGUGAAUUGAAAUUGCAUAGGUGAAUUAUUUGAUCUGUAAUUCACCAAAUGAUGUAAUAAUUCAAGCAAAGAAAAUAGGUCACCAAAAUAUAUUAAAUAUUUAGGUAGUUUAUUAGUAGGAAGUUGAAAUUUUUUCCUCUUAUUAAGCUUAUGCUUAAUAAAUUAGUAAAUUAGUGACUCAAAAGCUUGAAAUUUCUAUCAAUAUUAAGCUCAUUUGUUUCUCUCCUAGCCAAGAACAACUCAUUAGCAAUGCCAUUAUAAUUUAAAUUUAAGCUAGUUUAUGAGAAGCAUAAAUAUUGGCAUUUAUACGGCCUGGUGUAGUAGUAUAUAAUACUAGCCAAAAUACGGUUUGAGACACAUCUCAUUUAUUUCAGUUUAUUUGAACCUGGAUGCUUAUUUUUCAUACAGAAGUAACAUCAGUUUUAAAAAUACACCUAUAAAAAGAACUGCAUAAUAAUGACCUUCAGAGCACUAGUUUUGGUUUCAUGCCCCCUCUGUGUUUGGCCUUUGCUUUAUUUUUUUCAAAGAUACUGUUUUUACUGUAAUCUCCAGACUAUAAGAAUUGAAAGAGAACUGAUCAAACACACCUUUCUAUAGCGUUUUCUUCACUAUGUAAAUAUUAUUUGUAUAAACAUUACAAAAAGGGAUCCAAACAAUUUGAUUUUUUUUUUUUCUCCCUGGGUAUGUGCUUCAAGGACAAUUUGUUUUUCUGUGUAGAAAAUGGCAUAUGUCAAGAGUUAGGGGAUUCAUCGCUCCCAGGUUUUUAUAAGUGGCUUUAUUCCUCUUCUAGAAAUGCCUUCCAGAAGAGCCCAAGGAGCACUGUGGUUACAGAGGGGCAAAUGGUCGCAGUCUGUGGUGUACGUACUCCACGGAUUAGCUGAACCUGGGGGCCCUGGGAUUACUAGAAUAUACCUGGCCACAUGAGCUCGGAAGUCUUCUGAGCUUAAACCCGUAAGCUAUACACCUUUCCAACUGAAAACAAAACUAUAAGGCAUUCAUUGGAAAUCCAUAAUAAUAGUAGACUUCAUCCAUUAACUUUUUAAAAGAAUAUAUCCACUGUUGAUUUCUUUCUUGUUUUCUGAGGCACAUUCCUUUCCACCCAGUCUUUAAACCACCAUAUUACCUCCUUGUGCCAACAAGGAGGAGCAGUGUUGCUUCCAAGAGAUAAUCUUUAAUAAAAGAAAUCCUCUGCUUCAGAGGCUUUUGAAAUCCUUGGAUCCCUUUUUGAAAGUGAAGAUGAGCUCGCCCGGGGCCCCAGUGGAACCGUGGUGCUGCUGUUGCACAAGCAGACAGUACAGAGCACGUGGUGAGGUUUGCCUGGUCUUUUCAGUGACCUUCUAGGGCUUGCUUUCAUUUUCUCUCUCCUUUUGUACUACUUUUUUCAAACAUAGUAAAUUUAUGAUUUUACAGCCAGAGUGGUAUUCUGUUUUUUUCUAAGCUUCGAGAUACACUGUUACUUAAUCACAUUGAUGAGCAUUAUUUUCACGUGAAGUCAACCUUCUCAAAAUGAUCUAAGGAAGUCCUUUUUGGUCCUGCUCCCCUAAAAAUGGCUUGUAACUAAAGUGACUCUUUUUUUUUCCAUUUAGAGGAUUCUGAUGAAAGAUCUGUGCGUGCAAACUCUUACAGUUAUUGAAAGGAAUUUCACUACACCAGUAUCUCAAGUUGUAGUGUGGGGAAAAUUUGGUCAGUGCCUUAACAAUUUGAAGACCAAUUUUAGGGCAUUGAGUAUGAUGAUAAUCAUUUGCCCUCUUACUCCUCUUAUGUCAGGAGUGUGUGCUAUCCUUCUCUCCACCAGCUUACUCUUUCUUACUCUUUGUCCCAGCAAGUGUAAGAGAGCACAGAGUCUACAGAUAGCCUCCAGGUCAUUGUUACAGCCCUCCCAGGUCCUGAGUCUGUUCAGACAAGCUCCCUCCCUGCUCCUCUUCUGCCGGGGUAGGAGAUUAAAAAUAAACCCACCCAGAUCAACCUUUAGAUGAGCAUUUUUUAGAACAGUUUUGAAGAGCGUCCAUCCAGCUGAGUUUGUUUUUAUGUUGUGUUGUUGAUGAUGAUGUUUUGAGCAUCGAUUUAAUUAUAAGGCCUUUCAGAAAAUCCCUAAAAGAAUACAUUACAGCCAGAAAGAUUUGUUGGGGUCUUAUUAAAGCUGCUGAAAUCUUGUAAUGGGACUUGACCAAAAAUGAGAUUUAGAUUGGUUCAUUCUUAUAUUUAAGUAAGACUCAGAACAAACAGGCAGUCACUUAACCUACCAGAUACUGUUUCCUUGGAAAUAUUAUGGAAGGAAAGUGAAAACAACUCCAAUAUAUAAAUUUUGAGGGAAGCUAAGAGACUACACUAGCUUUCUUAGUCAAAACAAAACUUGGAAACAUUUUGCUUCUCUGAGACCCUUGCAAGAUCUGAAACUACUGUUCAACUGAGUCAGGAUGCUAUUUUCACAUUUUUUAAGGGCCAGUAUGUUCCAGAAUAGGGAAGUAGACUUAGUCUUUAAAGCCAAAUGAAGGGUUGACUGAUCCUUGAGGGUUAUUAGCAGAAUUUAAAUAUUCCUUCUAGUCAUUUGGCCUGCAAAAUGGUGAUGGAAUUAAAGGAAUGGAAUGCAUAGAGUGCUUUGAAAGGAUUGAACUUUUUUUUUUAAUAGACCAGCUGAAAAUUUCAUAAGUAUUACCUGUGCUUUUUAGAUACCAGGUAACAAGUAUUCAGUUUCCCCUAAAGAUAACAUCACCUAUUAGGACUAUUCACAAAUAUAGUCCAAUAACUAUUGACUUACCAGGUCUGACACAGUAGCUGAUUUAUUAUGUCACCAGACUCUCAAAGAGUUUCUAUAUCUUAAUCACUGACAAAUUUACUGUUUUACAGCCCACUGAAGUGUGUAUGUGUGGGGAGGUGGUGGGGAACUCGUUCACAAGAUAAUCUAAAGGAGAUAAACAUCUGUGGGGGUAAAUAUCCAAUGAUGAUAAUAUACAGGAAAACACAAGCCAUUUUUCUUCUUCUUUAUCCCAGUUAACCUGAGGUACUCUAAUGAUGAAGCACUCAAUUGCACUAUGACCUCCCUGAGUGAUGUGCAGCUUGUUCCUCUCUCACUUAUUAUUUCUGUGUAAUAUGCAAAUGUGAGUGUGAGAUCUUCAGUGUGUUUGCAUAAGCUAACUUAAAAUGAAUUUAAGUACAGUUUUCUGAAAUAUUUCUAUUGAAAUAAAUUACUUAACAAUA